CUGGUGUUUUCAUUUGUUUACUUUUUAACUUUGGAAUUAUCGGAAUUUCGUAGCAGCGGCGAUCAUGGAUUGGGUUGAGGGUCAGCUUGGAAGCGCUGUAACUAAGCAACUGCGAGUUCACAUUCAAAGAUUUUUGAAACUUUUAUCGGGAGAAGGAAUGAAACAUCAAACGCGCCAAAACCGGACUGUCGCCGUUGAAAGACCUUUGUGGCAGUUUGAUACGUUGGAUCGAUGUCCGAGACGAGCAAAAUUGGCCAGAUCUUCCGAUUCGUGUAAUUCGUGCAAAUAAAGAACAUUGUAAAUCUUUUCAUCUCUGUAUU